UUUGUACUCCCUCCGUCCCAAAAUUCUUGUCUUAAAUUUGUCUAAAUACGGAUGUAUCUAGUUACAUUUUAGUGUUAGAUACAUCCAUCUCUAAACAAAUGUAAGACAAGAAUUUUGGGACGGAGGGAAUACUAC
rfam:Triticum aestivum genome assembly, contig: Triticum_aestivum_CS42_TGACv1_scaffold_393958_5AS